UCAUUUUUUGAUUUCUUCUGAUGAUGAUGCCACAAACUUUGUGCAAAUUAUUGGGCCAGGUGACCGAAGCCAUCUCUCCGUUCGGUCGCCAAUAGAAAUGCGACAUCUGUUAGGCAUUUUUUUAAUUUAAUAUAUUUGCUUUAUGUCUUGUCAGAGUUAGCGACCCGACCCGAUAACGCAUUUCAUUUGAACUUUUAAGCAUUUGCCGCCCUAUUUUUGCAUUUUGAUACCCGCGAAAGACGCAAAUAUGUACUGCUGUAGAAGAAAAAACGAGCCAGAAAAUUGCAGAGAAGAAAUGGACUGCUCAGCGAAGAGGGAGGUGGAAGAGGGCAUGGAAGAGGGAGUGCAUGAAUCGGAAAGGAUGCAUGAAUCGAAAGGGCUGGUGCAUGAAUUGGAAUCAGAACCUAACUUAGCCGGAAAUUCCUCUGGUUUCAACAUAUCGGUAAGUUAGAAAGUUGUAAACAGUCAGUUUUAAUAUUAUCGCCGCAGAAAGAAGACGUAGGUUUCAGCUCAUUAGUCUUAGGAUCUUUGAUUUUGCGAUUUUUAAGCAGAAUAAAUUUCUUUUGGCGAAAAAGUAAAAAAAA